UACGAAGGGGGCUAGCGUUGCUCGGAAUCACUGGGCGUAAAGCGCACGUAGGCGGAUUGUUAAGUCAGGGGUGAAAUCCUGGAGCUCAACUCCAGAACUGCCUUUGAUACUGGCGAUCUUGAGUCCGGGAGAGGUGAGUGGAACUCCGAGUGUAGAGGUGAAAUUCGUAGAUAUUCGGAAGAACACCAGUGGCGAAGGCGGCUCACUGGCCCGGUACUGACGCUGAUGUGCGAAAGCGUGGGGAGCAAACAGG
rnacentral:rRNA from 1 species